rnacentral:rRNA from 1 species
AGUGAACGCUGGCGGUAGGCCUAACACAUGCAAGUCGAACGGCAGCACAGUAAGAGCUUGCUCUUACGGGUGGCGAGUGGCGGACGGGUGAGGAAUACAUCGGAAUCUACUUUUUCGUGGGGGAUAACGUAGGGAAACUUACGCUAAUACCGCAUACGACCUACGGGUGAAAGCAGGGGAUCUUCGGACCUUGCGCGAUUGAAUGAGCCGAUGUCGGAUUAGCUAGUUGGCGGGGUAAAGGCCCACCAAGGCGACGAUCCGUAGCUGGUCUGAGAGGAUGAUCAGCCACACUGGAACUGAGACACGGUCCAGACUCCUAAGGGAAGCAGCAGUGGGGAAUAUUGGAGAAUGGGCGCAAGCCUGAUCCAGCCAUACCGCGUGGGUGAAGAAGGCCUUCGGGUUGUAAAGCCCUUUUGUUGGGAAAGAAAAGCAGCAGGUUAAUACCCCGCUGUUCUGACGGUACCCAAAGAAUAAGCACCGGCUAACUUCGUG